CCCUUAGAUGUUCUGGGCUGCACACGUGCUACACUGGCAGGUACAGCGAGCUUCAUGCCCUGAUCUGAAAGGAAUGGGAAAUCUUUUCAAAACCUGCCGUGCUUGGGAUAGAUGUUUGCAAUUAUUCAUCUUCAACGAGGAUUGCCUUGUAAGCGCACGUCAUCAGCGUGCAUUGAAUACGACCCUGUAUUCUGUACACACCGCCCGUCGCUCCUACCGAUUGAAGUUUUCGGUGAGUUGACAGGAGGAUUUUUUUGAAACUGGUUCGCCAGUGGAUUUUAGAUCCAAAUGCCAACGAAUCGAUGGCUUUAGAGGAAGGAGAAGUCGUAACA
rnacentral:rRNA from 1 species